AGGUUUUUCCAUUUGGUUCGUGUAAGUAGAGGGAAAAAGUCGUGCGGCUAGUCGACUAGUGCGCACCAUGGCGGGGGAUAGCCGAAACUUGCUGCAGACUUUGCUUGAUCAAACAUAUAGACACCGUAGGGCCAUGUACUGUAACCUGUCAGGCUGUCAGCAGCAAAAGUGAAACCUGUUUGAUUUCUUAAGUGUUUAUUUCCAUGAAAUUUUCAUGUCCACAGAAAUUUUUAAAUAUCGUUUGUCCCCUUUUGCAUUGUCCGUGGUAGAAGAAGAUCGGAAAUAUUACUACCAACAAUUAGAACAUCUAAAGUGUCACGAUCCUUUGGCAAUACCACUUCCACUUUUCAAGUGUGGAUAAAUUUUAAAAACAAUUAUCCCUUCCAUUGAAAAAUAUCACCUAGUUCAGUAUUUGGUUUUUGAGAAAAACAAAGAUGAAGAGGGACGACGUGAAGCUUACAAAAACUUAGACUCUGAACAAUACUUGUCAAACACUUUCACUGACAAGUUAUUGGCACUUACUCUUUCUAAUUUGGUUGUGUUGAUUCGUACUCAUGUUACCCAUUCUCAGUCUUUAAACUUGCCAAAAGCAAGACCUUGGGCUGCUUUACAAAAUGAUGGCAAAGUGAUUGUUGCUUUUUGUGAUUGUAUUGCAGGGUUAGGUUCAAUUCAAUGAUGACGGAACAUUGUCUGGUUGAGUUUUGAGAUUCUUAGUAGGAACCCAGUCUAUGUCUUCAGUUUUAUACACAUAUGCAGGUUUCCCUAAAAAAACAUAACUGUUAUUCUACGUAAACGAUUACAAAUGUAAUAUGAAAUAAACCUGAAACAAAAUGAUCAGAGCAAACAAA